UACGUAGGGGGCAAGCGUUGUCCGGAUUUAUUGGGCGUAAAGAGCGUGUAGGCGGUUAUACAGGUCCGCUGUGAAAACUGGAGGCUCAACCUUCAGACGUCGACCCAAACCCCCUGGCUAGAGUCCGGAAGAGGAGAGUGGAAUUCCUGGUGUAGCGGUGAAAUGCGCAGAUAUCAGGAAGAACACCCGUGGCGAAGGCGGCUCUCUGGGACGGUACUGACACUGAGACGCGAAAGCCAGGGGAGCGAACGGG
rnacentral:rRNA from 1 species